rnacentral:rRNA from 1 species
UACGUAGGUGGCAAGCGUUUGUCCGGAUUUAUUGGGUUUAAAGGGUGCGUAGGCGGCCUUGUAAGUCAGUGGUGAAAUACUCUAGCUUAACUAGAGGGGUGCCAAUGAUACUGCAGGGCUUGAGUACAGAUGAGGUAGGCGGAAUUGACGGUGUAGCGGUGAAAUGCAUAGAUAUCGUCAAGAACACCUAUAGCGAAGGCGGCAUCCUGGACCGAUACUGACGCUGAGGAGCGAAAGCCAGGGGAGCAAACGGG